rnacentral:rRNA from 1 species
UCAGGAUGAACGCUAGCGGCAGGCCUAACACAUGCAAGUCGAGGGGUAACAUUUGUGCUUGCACAAGAUGACGACCGGCGCACGGGUGCGCACCGCGUAUGGAACCUGCCUUGUACAGGGGAAUAGCCCAGGGAAACUUGGAUUAAUGCCCCGUAGUACCGUGACCCGGCAUCGGGAUACGGUUAAAGCCUUCGGGCGGUACAAGAUGGCCAUGCGUCCCAUUAGCUUGUUGGUAAGGUAACGGCUUACCAAGGCUACGAUGGGUAGGGGCCCUGAGAGGGGGAUCCCCCACACUGGUACUGAGACACGGACCAGACUCCUACGGGAGGCAGCAGUGAGGAAUAUUGGACAAUGGAGGAGACUCUGAUCCAGCCAUGCCGCGUGCAGGAAGAAUGCCCUAUGGGUAGUAAACUGCUUUUAUACGGGAAGAAAAAGAGCUACGUGUAGCUUACUGACGGUACCGUAAGAAUAAGGACCGGCUAACUCCGUGCCAGCAGCCGCGGUAAUACGGAGGGUCCGAGCGUUAUCCGGAAUUAUUGGGUUUAAAGGGUCCGUAGGCGGGCCGAUAAGUCAGGGGUGAAAGUCUGCCGCUCAACGGUAGAACUGCCUUUGAUACUGUCGGUCUUGAGUUAUAGUGAAGUUGCCGGAAUAUGUAGUGUAGCGGUGAAAUGCAUAGAUAUUACAUAGAACACCGAUUGCGAAGGCAGGUGACUAACUAUAUACUGACGCUGAUGGACGAAAGCGUGGGGAGCGAACAGGAUUAGAUACCCUGGUAGUCCACGCCGUAAACGAUGGAUACUAGCUGUCCGGAACCUUGAGUUCUGGGCGGCCAAGCGAAAGUGAUAAGUAUCCCACCUGGGGAGUACGUUCGCAAGAAUGAAACUCACAGGAAUUGACGGGGGCCCGCACAAGCGGUGGAGCAUGUGGUUUAAUUCGAUGAUACGCGAGGAACCUUACCAGGGCUUAGAUGCAUAUUGACAGGUCUAGAGAUAGAUUUUCCUUCGGGCAAUUUGCAAGGUGCUGCAUGGUUGUCGUCAGCUCGUGCCGUGAGGUGUCAGGUUAAGUCCUAUAACGAGCGCAACCCCUACCGUUAGUUGCCAGCAUGUCAUGAUGGGGACUCUAACGGGACUGCCGGUGCAAACCGUGAGGAAGGUGGGGAUGACGUCAAAUCAUCACGGGCCCUUAACGUCCUGGGCCCACACCGUGCUACAAUGGCAGGUACAGAAGGAAUGCCCCGUCCCAAAGGCGAACGAAAUCU